CAAAUAGGGAAAUGGUCCCAAUCGUUUUUCCAUAGGGAAUUUAAGAAACACUUAACAUAUGGUCUGUGUUUCGUGUAGGCGUACCCUGGUGUGACCUUUUGAUAACCGUGUAAAUCUCUCUAGGACAAGGUGACUUUUAUCAAUAUAUUUACCUGCAAAAAAUGAAAUGUUAAUUAGCUGCUAAUGGGGCUAUCAUAAAGAACUGCAAAUACCAUGUGAUCUGGACAAGACUGCCAAAUCGAGGCAAUGGUGGAGCACACACCUGGAAAAAGAGAAAUAACACCCUGUCUGUGUGUACUUUCACCACCAGAGAGAGCUAUUUGUCCAGGUUUUCUGUCCACUGAUCUCUUUCAGUGAGUAGAAUGUGACGUUGAUUUGCAGUGAGAGACUUAUGAUGGUGACACACAUCUCUGCG
ensembl:lncRNA